rnacentral:rRNA from 1 species
AUUGAACGCUGGCGGCAUGCCUAACACAUGCAAGUCGAACGGAAACGAUGCUAGCUUGCUAGCAGGCGUCGAGUGGCGGACGGGUGAGUAAUGUAUAGGGAUCUGCCUAGUAGUGGGGGACAACAUGUGGAAACGCAUGCUAAUACCGCAUACGCUCUACGGAGGAAAGUGGGGGACCUUUCGGGGCCUCAUGCUACUAGAUGAACCUAUAUUGGAUUAGCUUGUUGGUAAGGUAAUGGCUUACCAAGGCGACGAUCCAUAGCUGGUUUGAGAGAAUGAUCAGCCACACUGGGACUGAGACACGGCCCAGACUCCUACGGGAGGCAGCAGUGGGGAAUAUUGCACAAUGGACGAAAGUCUGAUGCAGCAAUGCCGCGUGUGUGAAGAAGGCCUUAGGGUUGUAAAGCACUUUCAGACGUGAGGAAAAGUAAUAAUUUAAUAAAUUAUUACCUUGACGUUAACGUCAGAAGAAGGACCGGCUAACUCCGUGCCAGCAGCCGCGGUAAUACGGAGGGUCCAAGCGUUAAUCGGAAUUACUGGGCGUAAAGCGCGCGUAGGCGGAUAUUUAAGUCAGAUGUGAAAUCCCUGGGCUCAACCUAGGAACUGCAUUUGAUACUGGAUAUCUAGAGUAUGGUAGAGGUGAGUGGAAUUUCAGGUGUAGCGGUGAAAUGCGUAGAGAUCUGAAGGAACAUCAGUGGCGAAGGCGACUCACUGGGCCAUUACUGACGCUGAGGUGCGAAAGCGUGGGUAGCAAACAGGAUUAGAUACCCUGGUAGUCCACGCCCUAAACGAUGUCAACUAGUUGUAUGGGGAGUUUAACUCCUGUGUAUCGAAGCUAACGCGAUAAG